ACAUGGUUUCCGGCAGAUCUCCCCGAGGACGCCCCUUCCCCUGCCUGCCUGCGUGAGCCGAGCCGUGUUGUGGCAGCCGGAGUGGAAGCUGGAGACCCUCCCCCGGGCGCGCAGCAGUGUAUCAGGACUACCAGGAGAGGGAGCAGUCUGUCCUUCCACUACCACCAUGGAGAAUUUUGCGGGAUUCAUUGAGACUUCAGACAAGAGGACGACUGGGAUGCAACAGCAGGUUCAACCUAGUCCCGAUGGCCAGUCCCACUUCACAAGACUCCUGUUGAUGAGGUAAAUAAAUUCACGCUAUCAUUGUGUUUUUUUUAUAAGCUAAAUUGUUGAUUUUCGAUUGCCACAUUAUUUAGGUCCUUUUUUCAU